rnacentral:rRNA from 1 species
AGUGAACGCUGGCGGUAUGCCUAACACAUGCAAGUCGAACGGCAGCACAGUAAGAGCUUGCUCUUACGGGUGGCGAGUGGCGGACGGGUGAGGAAUACAUCGGACUCUACUUUUUCGUGGGGGAUAACGUAGGGAAACUUACGCUAAUACCGCAUACGACGUACGGGUGAAAGCAGGGGAUCUUCGGACCUUGCGCGAUUGAAUGAGCCGAUGUCGGAUUAGCUAGUUGGCGGGGUAAAGGCCCACCAAGGCGACGAUCCGUAGCUGGUCUGAGAGGAUGAUCAGCGACACGGGAACUGAGACACGGUCCAGACUCCUGCGGGAGGCAGCAGUGGGGAAUAUUGGACAAUGGGCGCAAGCCUGAUCCAGCCAUACCGAGUGGGUGAAGAAGGCCUUCGGGUUGUAAAGCCCUUUUGUUGGGAAAGAAAAGCAGCAGGUUAAUACCCCGCUGUUCUGACGGUACCCAAAGAAUAAGCACCGGCUAACUUCGUG